rnacentral:rRNA from 1 species
GACGAACGCUGGCGGCGUGCCUAAUACAUGCAAGUAGAACGCUGAAGAGAGGAGCUUGCUCUUCUUGGAUGAGUUGCGAACGGGUGAGUAACGCGUAGGUAACCUGCCUUGUAGCGGGGGAUAACUAUUGGAAACGAUAGCUAAUACCGCAUAACAAUGGAUGACACAUGUCAUUUAUUUGAAAGGGGCAAUUGCUCCACUACAAGAUGGACCUGCGUUGUAUUAGCUAGUAGGUGAGGUAAUGGCUCACCUAGGCGACGAUACAUAGCCGACCUGAGAGGGUGGUCGGCCACACUGGGACUGAGACACGGCCCAGACUCCUACGGGAGGCAGCAGUAGGGAAUCUUCGGCAAUGGGGGCAACCCUGACCGAGCAACGCCGCGGGAGUGAAGAAGGUUUUCGGAUCGUAAAGCUCUGUUGUAAGUCAAGAACGGGUGUGAGAGUGGAAAGUUCACACUGUGACGGUAGCUUACCAGAAAGGGACGGCUAACUACGUG